rnacentral:rRNA from 1 species
GAUGAACGCUGGCGGCGUGCCUAAUACAUGCAAGUCGAGCGAACGGACGAGAAGCUUGCUUUUCUGAUGUUAGCGGCGGACGGGUGAGUAACACGUGGAUAACCUACCUAUAAGACUGGGAUAACUUCGGGAAACCGGAGCUAAUACCGGAUAAUAUUUUGAACCGCAUGGUUCAAAAGUGAAAGACGGUCUUGCUGUCACUUAUAGAUGGAUCCGCGCUGCAUUAGCUAGUUGGUAAGGUAACGGCUUACCAAGGCAACGAUGCAUAGCCGACCUGAGAGGGGGAUCGGCGACACGGGAACGGAGACACGGUCCAGACGCCUACGGGAGGCAGCAGUAGGGAAUCUUCCGCAAUGGGCGAAAGCCUGACGGAGCAACGCCGCGUGAGUGAUGAAGGUCUUCGGAUCGUAAAACUCUGUUAUUAGGGAAGAACAUAUGUGUAAGUAACUGUGCACAGCUUGACGGUACCUAAUCAGAAAGCCACGGCUAACUACGUG